UGUUCUUCUUACAUUGGUUAAUUGCAAAUGGUCCCCAUUUGAGGGCAAAUUCUCUGUCAAUGUUCCUGUCGUGAUUCAUGAACCAACUGCUAAAGGAUAGGCCCUCUCUUUUCAUUUUGUUUUUCACUUUCCUUGGCACGUGAGAUAAUCUUUACUCAUUGCCAAUUAGACAGAUAUCUAAUAUUAUCAUCAAAUCCUUUGAUUGGUUUGAUUUACAAGUUGCAAACCUUGAUUGGGUACACAAUUCAAGCAAUUUUGUCAGAUAAUUGAUCACCUCCCACAUGACAAAAUCUUGGUUAGCUAUCAUUUUGAUUAAUAACCACAUAAUUCAGCAGAUUCCUCAGCCAGGCAAUAUUUCAUUUAAUCAAGUACCUGCAAAGUAAAUUGGUGUGCCUGUAGUCCUCGCACAAAUGCUUUAACCUGCACUCAUUGCAGAAGAAACAGCAGGGACAUAAAAAUGUUUUGAAGUUCAUGAUAAACAUCUGAAGUCCCAUGCUUGCUCUGUCUGUGCGUGUGAUUUACUGAAAAAGGGACCAUUCUUCUCUCUUCUUUUAUCAGCAAGGUGACGAUGAUCAAUAAUUUUUCAAAAGCAAUAAACACAGAAAACAUACCUCACACAUUGGAAAGUCAUGAUGUAUUCUGCUGCCACUUUCUUCUUUUGCCUUUUAUACUUCUCUGUUUCAAUUUACCAGGUAUAUUGUUUUUGUUUUUAACUGAAAAAUGUAAAAUCGCCAGUAGUACUGAUAUAAUAUUAACUGGGAACCAACUAUAAACAAAUCUGAAUCACAAAUCUAGACAAUGGUUCUUGAUGAUUGGAAUAAUCACCGAGUAUUAGAUAACCUGAACCUGACAAAUUUCUUUAUAAAAUUUGGGGUGCCUACAUCAUCUGUACUCCUUUGUUAGUGGAAGGUGAAAGCUACAUUGGCUAAACUUGUAAACUAAAAGCAAAAGCAUGAGUUUUUCUUUUUCUCUUUGUAGAACAUGCCAAUGGAGUGGCCUUGUUUCUCUGAUCCUUACAUCUGGAACAACUCAUUCUGUUUCACAAAAAGGUAGCUAAAGACAAGAAAUUGAGAAAAUUUAUCUGUGGGAUUUUGAAAUUGAGAACAAUCCCCUUGAAGAGGUUAACAAGAAUCUUAAGUGUCCGUAAUGUAAAACAAGAAAUCGAAAAUUUGCGUAUCAGCUAAGAGGAAAAAUCGUUUCACUCUUUUGCUAAACAGAAGUGAAAUCUGGAUACAAAAACCUUAUAGCUGUGCCCUUCUGCAACUAAAGACAGUCCAUAUACUUCAAAAAUUAAAAAUAAAAUAAAACAAAAUAAAAUAAAAUAAAAUAAAAAGUAAUAACUACUUAGCAGUGAAAUCCCAGUUUGUGCACGUCUUUUGUGAAGAGCUUUCCUGCUAUUUGCAACCUUACUGAUGUUGCUUUAGCAAUUUCUUUCUCAAACACAUCCAAAUCCAUCUGACCUUCUCGGCAUUCAAGUGAGCAAAAUGCACCUAGGAAACUGCAUCAAUCAAAGAAAGCAUUUUUAAGGCAAAUAUAGCAAAUGAAUUUCAAAAGAUGCAGUUUCUAUAUAUUCUAAAGAAUUAUUAUUAUAAUAAGCAAUAUUGAAAAAUCAACUCUGGGAAGAAUGACUGCAUAGACUAAAGAACACUGCAACAGCUUGCAAAACCACAUAUCAAUUAGUGCUCUUGGAAAUUUUUGAACAACUAAUCCUUUUCCCUUCUUCUGUAAUAUAUUACUGUUUGAUUGCAGAUAAGUUUUCAGGUGAUUAGAAGUCAAUAUUAUGCAUGUAAGCUCAGCAUCAAACCAACUAUGAGCAUAAAAUCAAUAUCUUACCUUAUGUUUUGUACGCGGCAAUGCAAUAAAAUACAAUCAAAAUAGAAACUUUGAUUUCUAUUUUUUUUUUUUCCUAUUUAACUGAAAUUCAAGUUGUUAAUAUUAGUUUAAACAGGGAAAAGGAGAAAAGAGAAGAAGACUCACCCAUACAUGUAAAUAUCUUUGUCCUAAAGUAGUUUCUUCUUGCACAAGAAACAAGCUUUAAGAAACUCUCCAAACCCUUUACCAGGCUUCUUGUUCUUUAUCCGUGCAUCGUUCACGGGUAAUCCAAACGUGAAUAUACACCGCCGAGUCUUCUGCUUUUCUGCCGAUACUGGAGGCUGAUAGAGCUCUUUAACCGUCUUUGAGGUGAGAUCAGGGUGUGUUUCCUCUCAAAGAAAGCCACCGGAGACUCGAUUGGCCGAAUAUGGUUCCACAGCCCAAUCUCUACCUGACUCGACGACCGAACAACACGAGAACGUUUGGAAGACAUUGAUAAUUAGUACUGUAAAUAUAUGGAUUGUAUGUUGGUGUCAAAUGGUGCAAGAAUGCAGGAUUUUAAUUAGGGUUUUGCAGGAUAUGUGGGGUUUAAGCUCUGCAAUGCAUGAACCUUUUUUUUAAGUAGUAGUUUUUAUGUUGAGGAAACAAAAUUAAUUAUUGUUGCUAAAGGGCUGGAAUUAGGGUUUUGUAUAAUGAAUAUUAGUGUGAGCUUUGACAGAGGUUUGAGAGAUCUUUGGAAUGGAAU
rnacentral:lncRNA from 1 species